AUGGAGUUGGGUCCUGCUCUCUUCUACGUCACUAUGAUCAGAUGAAAUAUACUUUCUGUUUUACUCCCAGGAGUGACAUACAGGACAUUGCUGCUGUAAGAGUAUCACAGUGGCAGCAGUGGAGAUGUUUACUCUACAGGAAAACUCUUGGACUGUCACAGUGGAAACAUUCUCAAGAAAGAUUCACACGAGAGCUUCACUCUUCAUCAUGUCCUUUCUGAAAGACAGAAACAUAAAGAAAAGGUUCACAUGUUAAAGUCACCAUAGAGGAUCCUGUUGGGGAAGCCCUUUCUGCAGAUUCUGAUGCCCUCCAGCACACCGUUACAGCGCAGCUGGUGCAUUACUAGAGGAUUCUCCAUGGCCCCAGGAGUCUUUGUCUCAUUAGGGAUGAUGCAGCGCACAAAAUGAGGAUGAGUUGAUCUCAGACUAUACAGACUGGGAUCUGGAUCAGGAUACUGCAGCAUCUGAACAGUGAACAAAUGCCCAUGACCACCUGUAAAAUGCCCACCAUACCUUUUAUGGCACACACCCACCACCAGAGCAAACACAGAGUCUGUUUAUUUGGGGAGGUUUCAGUGUCAAAGAGCACUUGGAAAAGCUUUAAAGAAAGAGUCAAAUGAUCUCUUCACUCUUCAUCAUGACCCUUCUGUAAAAGAAAAUAAAGACAAGAACAGGAGUUAUAAAUCACCAUAGAGGAUCCUGUUGGGGAAGCCCUUUCUGCAGAUUCUGAUGCCCUCCAGCACACCGUUACAGCGCAGCUGAUGCAUUACUAAAGGAUUGUCCAUGGCCCCAGGAGUCUUUGUCUCAUUGGGGAUGAUGCAGCGCACAAAAUGAGGAUGAGUUGAUCUCAGAGUUAUCACCUGUUGCAUCGUUUAUGAAACUGGCCCUCACUGCAGUGACUGGAGCAGCUCCCUGGGAUACUAGAGUGUACAGAGGCUCUCCAUACCAUUGAGUUUCUCACCCUUCGCACUCCAGCAGGAGCCUGGACGG